CUGUAAGCUUUAUAAACACACACCAAAAUCUUAAACUUCACAUCUGUCUGUUUUAACUCUUUUCAGGCGAUAAGUGAAAAUUUGAAAUCCUAAUAACAAUUCUGCAAUUAGAAAUGGGUUAUGAUUUAUCUCACUCAGAUUCGGAAGAAGGGAAAUGUCUGAUUGGAGGGGGGAUUUUGUUUCUACAUAACUCUACUGAUGGUAUUGUGACAGAAAAUAGUGAUGUAGAGGACACACCUGUUUUGGUGAUUGGAAAAGAGAAAAGAGAGCUUCAAUGGAGAUUCUUAUUCAUCUAAUUGAUUUACAAGGGGAGUCUAAUGGAAUGUUGUGGUGGCUCUGGUGCAGGUGGUGUAUAUCACCUUGGAGAUAUCAAAUGAUCCCCAAGAGUAUCCUGAAGGCUGAAACUGAUGCCCACCAAUAACAACCCCAAGUCUUUGCUUGAAUUCCAACCUCCAUCAACAAAUGUCAAACAUAACACCAACUAAUUCCGUUUCUGAGCACAUGCCAAAUGUUGUUAUUAUGCAAUACAAAAUCUAAUUCUGGCAGCUGAUGAGGUUCCGAAAAGGCAUGGUCCGACAAUGAGGACUCUAGCUACUCAAGUGCAGGAAUAGAGCAGCUGCACAAAUUUAUGGUUACUCUGCAUCUGAAGCUCUUGGUCAGAAUAUCAAUGGCUUCAUAAUUGAGGUGCAGGACAUCAAUGCAGCGAAUGAAAUACUUCAAAGAAAUGCCUCAGGGGAAAACUGGACAGGGAUUUUUCCUGCCAGGAAUAAGCAAUGCCGGCUAUUUCAAGUACUUGCCACCGGUGCCCCGUUAUAUGAUGAUAGUGGUACUUUGGUUGGAAUCAUUUGUGUAACAAUUGCUUCGAAGUCUUUUGAAGAAACCUUGGUACCAGAUUCUCUUGGUACAAAACCUUUAAAAGAUAAUUCUUAUCCCAGCUCUAGUUGGCUGCAUAAUGGUGGUCUAACAACAACCAAACCUGAUUUUGAUGCUCGGCACAAGCCUCUGAAAUCUAUUACAUCUUGGCUGAUACCAAAAUUGGUAAGUUUUGAUUUAUUAAGAAUGUAAACCAUCUCUUCUUCUUCUUCCUUUUUAUGCGUCUAUCUCUCUCUUUCUCUAAUAACACAACUUUGUAUCCGAUAUCGAGAUCAAAAAAUAAAGUAUGUCUGAAAACGAAAACAUUGGAAGCCGCUCUCUCUGACCACAGGGUGCACCCUUCCCUUGAGAACAUAUG